UACGUAGGGACCAAGCGUUGUUCGGAUUUACUGGGCGUAAAGGGCGCGUAGGCGGCGUGGUAAGUCACUUGUGAAAUCUCUGAGCUUAACUCAGAACGGUCAAGUGAUACUGCUGUGCUAGAGUGCGGAAGGGGCAAUCGGAAUUCUUGGUGUAGCGGUGAAAUGCGUAGAUAUCAAGAGGAACACCGGUGGCGAAGGCGGUUCUCUGGGCAUGUCCUGACGCUGAGGAGCGAAAGUGUGGGGAGCGAACAGG
rnacentral:rRNA from 1 species